UUAAAUUGAAGAGUUUGAUCAUGGCUCAGAUUGAACGCUGGCGGCAGGCCUAACACAUGCAAGUCGAACGGUAACAGGAAGCAGCUUGCUGCUUUGCUGACGAGUGGCGGACGGGUGAGUAAUGUCUGGGAAACUGCCUGAUGGAGGGGGAUAACUACUGGAAACGGUGGCUAAUACCGCAUAACGUCGCAAGACCAAAGAGGGGGACCUUCGGGCCUCUUGCCAUCAGAUGUGCCCAGAUGGGAUUAGCUUGUUGGUGAGGUAACGGCUCACCAAGGCGACGAUCCCUAGCUGGUCUGAGAGGAUGACCAGCCACACUGGAACUGAGACACGGUCCAGACUCCUACGGGAGGCAGCAGUGGGGAAUAUUGCACAAU
rnacentral:rRNA from 1 species